GACGAACGCUGGCGGCGUGCUUAACACAUGCAAGUCGAACGGAAAGGCCCUGCUUUUGUGGGGUGCUCGAGUGGCGAACGGGUGAGUAACACGUGAGUAACCUGCCCUUGACUUUGGGAUAACUUCAGGAAACUGGGGCUAAUACCGGAUAGGAGCUCCUGCUGCAUGGUGGGGGUUGGAAAGUUUCGGCGGUUGGGGAUGGACUCGCGGCUUAUCAGCUUGUUGGUGGGGUAGUGGCUUACCAAGGCUUUGACGGGUAGCCGGCCUGAGAGGGUGACCGGCCACAUUGGGACUGAGAUACGGCCCAGACUCCUACGGGAGGCAGCAGUGGGGAAUAUUGCACAAUGGGCGGAAGCCUGAUGCAGCAACGCCGCGUGCGGGAUGACGGCCUUCGGGUUGUAAACCGCUUUCGCCUGUGACGAAGCGUGAGUGACGGUAAUGGGUAAAGAAGCACCGGCUAACUACGUGCCAGCAGCCGCGGUGAUACGUAGGGUGCGAGCGUUGUCCGGAUUUAUUGGGCGUAAAGGGCUCGUAGGUGGUUGAUCGCGUCGGAAGUGUAAUCUUGGGGCUUAACCCUGAGCGUGCUUUCGAUACGGGUUGACUUGAGGAAGGUAGGGGAGAAUGGAAUUCCUGGUGGAGCGGUGGAAUGCGCAGAUAUCAGGAGGAACACCAGUGGCGAAGGCGGUUCUCUGGGCCUUUCCUGACGCUGAGGAGCGAAAGCGUGGGGAGCGAACAGGCUUAGAUACCCUGGUAGUCCACGCUGUAAACGGUGGGUACUAGGUGUGGGGUCCAUUCCACGGGUUCCGUGCCGUAGCUAACGCUUUAAGUACCCCGCCUGGGGAGUACGGCCGCGAGGCUAAAACUCAAAGGAAUUGACGGGGCCCCGCACAAGCGGCGGAGCAUGCGGAUUAAUUCGAUGCAACGCGUAGAACCUUACCUGGGUUUGACAUGGAUCGGGAGUGCUCAGAGAUGGGUGUGCCUCUUUUGGGGUCGGUUCACAGGUGGUGCAUGCCUGUCGUCAGCUCGUGUCGUGAGAUGUUGGGUUAAGUCCCGCAACGAGCGCAACCCUUGUUCACUGUUGCCAGCACGUUAUGGUGGGGACUCAGUGGAGACCGCCGGGGUCAACUCGGAGGAAGGUGGGGAUGACGUCAAGUCCUCAUGCCCCUUAUGUCCAGGGCUUCACGCAUGCUACAAUGGCUGGUACAGAGAGUGGCGAGCCUGUGAGGGUGAGCGAAUCUCGGAAAGCCGGUCUCAGUUCGGAUUGGGGUCUGCAACUCGACCUCAUGAAGUCGGAGUCGCUAGUAAUCGCAGAUCAGCAACGCUGCGGUGAAUACGUUCCCGGGGCU
rnacentral:rRNA from 1 species